UACAGUAACUACAUCCAGAUUGAAAUAUUGUAGAAGACCAUACCAAUGAAAAAGAUGGACGCACAAUACUGGCAGCGAACGUCCUGGAAAUUAAAUGUAACAUGAUAUUCGGCGAAAAUGGAAUCCAAAGUUGAAAAAAAAUAUAAAAUUGGAAGAAAACAAAAAAAAUGAAAAAUAUAAGACAAGAAACAAAAGAAGAAAAAUAAGAUUAGUUGGCGAAAUAUUGACUCGCAUUCAAAAUGAUUUCCAUCUUGACUUUUAUUUUUAUCCAAUUUCUCUGUUAACUCGAGCGACGUUUUCUAAAAUUCAAAUUGGGUAUCCGCAGAUAUUCCACAGAUAUUAUGUAUUAUCUGCAUAAAUUUUUCGAAGCAGUGUAAUCGAUGUAUUAAUGAUGAUGUAUAAAAGUCAACAGAGCCAAUCGAAGAUGUUCAAUCGUUCUCUCAUAAAUAUUACUAUCUCUUAUAAAUAUGAUUCCUCUCAGUUGGCCUCGAUACGCGGAAAAUAAAUCAAUCCGCGCGUGAAUAUUGGAUCUCGAUGGAUUGCAUGGAUUCUCACGGAUUUCGAGGUUUGAAAAGUGAAAUACUCUUAUUCAUAGUGCGAAUCUCGCUUUUUCCCCAAUACUAUAUUUCGUCACUCUGCACAUGUUUCUUAUAUUGACAAAUCGAUUAGAUGUCAUGUUGAAAAAGUAGUAUUUCUUUAUAAAACAGAAAAGGAAAAGGAAUGAAAAAGAAAAGAAAAAAGAGAAACAAAGAAAAAGAAAGAAAAAAAGAAUUGUUUUCCUUUUUUUUUUUUUUUCAGUCAAGGCUUUAUUUUGAGAUGCUAACAAUGAAUAUUGAAAUGCUAUAGAAUUAAUUUAUUUUAUUAUCCUUCUUCUUUCUAUCGAGAAAAUCGAAUUUUAAAUCUUCAUUAGCCAAAACUGAUUUACAUCGCGUUUUACUCGUAGAAGUUUCUUAAAUAGUUUGCAUUUCUCGAACGAGAAUCACUCGUUUGAAUUUUGUAAAUGUAAAUUCCAUUACAAACGCGAAACUCCAUUAGUCAACAUGGUCUUUGCAAUUUUUAUUAACAGGAUAAAAUAUGCUUUUCAAUCCAUUUUUCAUUCAAAAUAUCGAGAAAGGAUUUAAAUAUCAAGAAUUCAUCAGAAUCUCUAUUAAUUUAUAAUUUUAUAUUUUGAGAUAACAUAUUAAUCCUGUUUGUUUCAAAAUUCAAUUAAAAUAUAUAAUUUUCAUCAAGCAAGAAUUUUAAUAACUAAAAGAAUCUAGUAAAAUUUUUGUUCCACUAAAAUUGAAAAGCUUUCUGGGAAAAGAAUUUAUGUGAAUAUUUUUGAUAAAUCAUUUUUAAUUAACUAUCUUAUUUCUUUUAUCGUUUAUUACAUUUAGAAUAUAUAUUUAAUUCGUUACAAUCGUUUAAUAAAAAUUUGCUUAAUUUAUUAUUUUAUUUCAUAAGUCCUUUUCCUAAAAAAUCUUCCAAUUAAAUUAUAAUCAUCUAAUUUACAUUUAUUUAAUUUUUUUUUUUACUCGAUUCAAUUUUUAAUCGAACUUUGUUCAAAAAUUCAUAUCUCAAACUUUUUCACCUAAUCGCAACUUUUCUUUUUUCAUUAUUUCAUAUUUUAAUUGCUUACCUCCUGUUACCGUUUCCAGUGUAAAUGCAUUAAACCGCCAGUUUCCGGCCUUUUGUAAUACACACUGCAACAAAUCACCAAUACCACAAUAGCUAUUGAAAUGAAUAUAGAUUUGGCUAGAAAAGGAAAUUUAUUCCUUCUCAUCCUUAUGGAACAAUCACAAUGAUGUUUAAUAUCGUAAAAAAUAUAGAUUAGGGAUAUUUAUGCAGACAUAAUGUAAUCUAAUAAAUAUAUUUGAAAUAUAAUAAACAAACGCAAAAUAUAAUUAUUUGAUAAUAAAAUUUAUAGUAAAAGUAUUUUACGUAGUAAAAUUUCAUUUGAUAAAUGUAAUUAUCUUCGAAUUGAAAAUCGCUGUUAUUCAAUAAUUUUUUUGAAAAUAAUUUUCUACAACGAAGAGCUAUCGUUGUCAUCAAAAUGUCUUCCUUGUUCUGUCAAAAAGAGAUUUUUUUUUUUUUGACUAAAUAAAAGAAUAUUGAUGAUAUUGAAA